rnacentral:rRNA from 1 species
UAGGGAAUCUUCGGCAAUGGGGGGAACCCUGACCGAGCAACGCCGCGUGAGUGAAGAAGGUUUUCGGAUCGUAAAGCUCUGUUGUUAAGGAAGAACGAGUGUGAGAAUGGAAAGUUCAUACUGUGACGGUACUUAACCAGAAAGGGACGGCUAACUACGUGCCAGCAGCCGCGGUAAUACGUAGGUCCCGAGCGUUGUCCGGAUUUAUUGGGCGUAAAGCGAGCGCAGGCGGUUAGAUAAGUCUGAAGUUAAAGGCAGUGGCUCAACCAUUGUAGGCUUUGGAAACUGUUUAACUUGAGUGCAGAAGGGGAGAGUGAAAUUCCAUGUGUAGCGGUGAAAUGCGUAGAUAUAUGGAGGAACACCGUUGGCGAAAGCGGCUCUCUGGUCUGUAACUGACGCGGAGGCUCGAAAGCGUGGGGAGCGAACAGG